rnacentral:rRNA from 1 species
UCGUAAAACUCUGUUGUAAGGGAAGAACAAGUACAGUAGUAACUGGCUGUACCUUGACGGUACCUUAUUAGAAAGCCACGGCUAACUACGUGCCAGCAGCCGCGGUAAUACGUAGGUGGCAAGCGUUGUCCGGAAUUAUUGGGCGUAAAGCGCGCGCAGGUGGUCCUUUAAGUCUGAUGUGAAAGCCCACGGCUCAACCGGGGAGGGUCAUUGGAAACUGGGGGACUUGAGUGCAGAAGAGGAAAGUGGAAUUCCAAGUGUAGCGGUGAAAUGCGUAGAGAUUUGGAGGAACACCAGUGGCGAAGGCGACUUUCUGGUCUGUAACUGACACUGAGGCGCGAAAGCGUGGGGAGCAAACAGGAUUAGAUACCCUGGUAGUCCACGCCGUAAACGAUGAGUGCUAAGUGUUAGGGGGCUUCCGCCCCUUAUUGCUGCAGCUAACGCAUUAAGCACUCCGCCUGGGGAGUACGGUCGCAA